AGGUGUUGUCUGACACUGCCUCUUUGGCAUGUGUUCUCCAGGCAAUGCUCCCACUCCUGUCCUCUUUUUCUCCAUUGCCUGCCCCAGGAGAUUUUUGGUUGGAUCUGCCAUUGCAGAGAGUUCGGCGUGGCGAGCAGACUGCCUCCUCCAAGGACACCCAUCCCUUACCCUGCAUCCCCAACCCUAUUGUGUGUUUGAAUGUGGGAGAUACCAUCCUUUUCCAGCUCACCAUUCAUCCCCACAAUCGCGCUUCCAGCCACUACCCCGUCUAUCAGAAGCAGCAUCUGUACAACAGCAAUCCUAGCUGGGAUUUUGGUCCUUUCCGAAGACUGGACCACCUUAUUCGGGAGACUCACCUCAACAUCUCCAGGUUUGCCCAUGUUUUCCUAGAUCCUGGGAGAUACGUUUUCAGGGAUAGCACCAUCCAGGAGCGUAUCUUGAUCGUGGCUGUAAACGAGGAGAACAUGGGCUGUGACCCUGUCAACGCUUCCUUCCAGCCCUCUUCUCCAUACCAGCUGGCCAGACACGGGGUUCUGAAACAUCGGGCACUAAAUUUAGCUCCUGACUGGGCAACUAUCUCAGCGGUGCUCUUUGUACUGGGCUGCUUGAUGGUUGUGCUGAUGACCCUGGCUAUCAUGCUGAGGCCCCCCAUUUCCAGCCCCAGUCCCAUGAACAACUGGAAGCCACGGUGGAGGAGCCUGGGUGAGCCACACAUCCCACCCGAGUACAUCCUCAUUAAAGACAGCCUUCAGUACUAUGAAGUCCUUGGUCCCCAGGGUUCUGGAAGAGGAGCUGAUGGUGGAGAGAAAGGAGUUAUCCAUGGUCCAGGUGAGCCGCCCGCACCGAGGGACCUGGAAGAUUUCAGCGUCCGCACCCUAUAUGAUAAACUGGAGGACCAAAACCUUCACCUGGCUUCUCAGCUGGCAAAACACAGGGUGGAUGUGUUGGCCUUUUACAGGGGGAUCAGCCAGCGGAUCCAGGGUCUGAUGGACAUGGUGCAAACUCUGGACUCUGAAGGGCUGAAAGGCCUCACCAGGCAAAGCAUCUCAGUGCAUAGAACCCAGGGGAGCACCCAGGCAGCCAUGGGCAUUGGGCAAAAUGACGAAUUGACCAGCAGAGGCUUUCAAGCAAUGGGCCACACAGGUGCUGAGUGGCGGGAGGCAACAGAGUUAAUGAAAGCUCUGAAAAUCCUGCUCGGUAAAGUCCAUUGUGGGAAGACGAUUGUGAAGCAAGAGCCAUCACAGCACGUACAGGGACAGGAUGGGACAGCAGAAUCCAGCCUGGCCAGUCAAAGGAAAGCAGGAGCAGAGGGAGGGCAGGAUCCUGGUGGGCUCCAGCAGCAUGGACGCUCCAAUAGGAAAGGCCCCUUUGUCACCUGCGAAGAACAAGGUCUAGGUCCUCAGCCUGGGAGGGCCAUGCUGGAAUGCCUGACUGAGCUUGAGGUGGAGAGUCUGAUGGCAACUUCCCCCCUUGCCAGGACCUUGCGUGAGAUCAGGCAGGCUUUGGAGAAGCAGCAGCAGUGUCCUAUUGCUUCUGCUGCAGAGGCAUAUUUGAGUGACAGUACUCCAAGGUCCACCAGGAAUUCAUUGGUCACCACAGAUCUGUCCAGCUUGUCCCCUCGCCAGUUUGUGGUUUACCGCUUUGGCUGCACUGUGAUUCGCCUGCUAAGCCGGGCCUGCUCCCACCCGGCUGUGGUACUCAUGUUGGCUCAGACAGUCCCAGACCAAAGCCCGGAAGGGGUCCAAGAGGCUCUCCAAAGCCCUCGAGAUUCCUACUAUGAUGCCACCAACAGGUUCCUGUAUAUAUGUUCAGCACGCCUGGAGAAUGCCGGGGAAUUUAUAGCCAUCCUGCUGAAUGCCAUGGCAUGGAUCAAAGCAGGAUCUACAGCAGCUGCCACUGCUCAUUCUUGCUUUCAGAUGGAACUCAACAAAGGCAUCACAGCUGUAGCCAAUGCCUUUUUCCAGUGUUCCUGGGGAGCAGUAGAGAAGGAUCCUGCAGAAGACAAACCAUCCACUUGCUUUGACUCCCAGACAAUAUUUGAAGAACUUCUGAGCAUCCGAAUGUCACCAGAUCCCCAAUUCCUUGAGAAAUCCCAACAUGAGAGGUUGCAACAUUACCAAUGUUUUCAGCUUCAGGCGGAGAUUCGGGAUAUGAUGGAAAGUUCAAGGAGAAAAGGAGCAAUGAAGUGGAGUGGUGAGGGGGAUAAGAAAAAUGCAGAGUCCUCUGGCAUUCAGGUUGCGAAGCUGGAGAAGAUGCUGGAUGGGCUGAACGAGGAGUUCUUCCAGCUUACAGUGCAGGCCUUGACAAGCCAGAAGGAGGAGGAACUACUGGACCAGAAGCUCAGAAUCCAGGAGGAAUCAUUUGCGACACUGGGCAGGAUUCAUGAGGAGGAAGCACAACACUUCACAGAGCAGCUGGAAUCCUGGGCCGGGAAGAGAGACCAGGCCCAGUUGCUGGAAAUUAAGAAGAGCUGUGUUGCUCAGAGAAUUAAAGACACAGAAUCUGAACUGUUUCAUCUUCUGCAAACCACAACGGCCACCAGCUCAUCUCCUGAAGGAGCCCAGCAAUCCUUUUGUACCAGCUAAAAGCAUCCAACUGAUGAUGUUCCAUCAUUGCUGGGGCGAACAGACCUGUGAACACACAGACACCUAAUUUCCAUGGGACAUUCAUACAUGUACAUACACACAGUGACAUGCUGGUACAUAUAUGAGGCUACACAACCUUCAACACACACACAUGCAUGAUGAGGGUUAUAUGGGCACAUAUCGGAAGAUAAAUAUAUGCACAGAAACAAAGACACUAAUGGAUACAGUUUGAUACAAAUACAUAUGUUCAUGAACAGAUGUACAUGUACAGAGAUGUUCACAUGCACACUGAUAGAUGCAUGCUGUAGAUCCUACAUAUAUACAUUCUUUACAGCUGUGAAGGCGUAGACUCAAAUGUAUUCCUACACACUGUUAAUCAUCCAUAAUUGUGCAGGAUUGAAAAUAUCAAUGUUCUUAACUUAUAUUGGUGUUCUGAAUGUACCACUCUCAAUCAAUAAGACAAAAAGGGAGUAGGAAAUUAGACUCUUCACAUACAUUGCAGGAAAUCCCUGCCCAUCAGCAAAAUAAAUUAUGUACAUCUCAUGCAAGCUGCACCCUUAAGGUUAUUUGUUUUCCUAGAAAAAAGGGUGCUUUCAUCCUAUCUGGUCUGAUUUUUAAUAGCUUAGGAACAUUAACUCAAGCAGAAAUGUGUCUGACUUCUGCAGUGCAGACUGCAGCCUCCUCCCUUUCUCCCCAGGUGUCUUCAGAUCUCUUCCAGGUAAGGUAUAGUAAGGUAAAGCUGCCUGGCUGGGAGCCAGCAUAACACCUUGGCAACCCACACAGGCAGGUGCCUGCUAGUAGAUUCCAGCAGCCUCGACCAGGCCCCUUUAAUUGAUAGAAGUGAUAUUUAUUCAGCUGUCGCCUCAGGAAGAGGCUUUUGAGCCCUGCAGGUUCCUAAGCACAAACAAAUGUUUACAGGGCACUUCUGCAUGGCGUAUCUACAGGUGGCGUCAUCAGUGAGAGAAACAGUUGGCACCUGGCAGCCAGGACAGACGUGCUCAGUUUGGCUUUUACAAGGUGGUUGCCUGGUCAGAUGUGAAGGAAUUUCAGGGUCCUUCCCCCUGGGGGAUGCUUUUCAGGUUAUUGGUAGAAAUGUUUAUAACGGUGCUUCAUGGAGGUAAGUGACUUGCCAGCCUUGGAUUUCUGUUGCCUCCUACAUGUCCAUAAGGAACUUAGUCACUCAGGACAAAAGAGGCAAUAAAACUAGCAUUCCUGUCCCCCAUUGGUAUACUGUUUUUCGCGGGGAAAAAAUUAAAAUAUUGCAUAGAAAGUGAUUUUCUUUUUCAAAAUUUCCUACAAAAAAUACUUGGUAUUUUUUGUCCAGCUCUAAUGUUAGGAGAAGGUAAGUGAAAAGUUUCCUGGGUGAAAUUUUCAAAAAUGUCUAAGUGACUUGGGAGCCGAAAUUGCAUUUUCAAAAGUGAUUUAGGCCCAGAUUUUUAAAAGGCAUUUAGGCAUUACUAGGCUCAGCCUUGCAAUCGCUAACUGAUUCAGGCACCUAAAUCUCAUUUUCAAAAGGUAUUUAGGCCAUGAAGAGCCAAAAUCCCCUUGACAGUUGAUGAGAUUUAGGAUCCUAAGUGUUUAAUCACAUUUUAAAAUGACAUUUAGACUCCUUAAUCAGUGAGGCAUUGCAAAGCUGAGAGCAGCAGUGCCUAAAUACCUUUAAAAAUCUGGCCCUAAGGGCCUGAAGGAGCUUGGUCAUAACCUAAAAUGUUAGUCACCCUAGAACUGUGAAAAAUUCACACCCUGUACUCUACCGUUAGGUUGAUUUAACCCCCACUGUAGACAAGUGUCGCUUCUGUAAGUCGUUCAAACCCGGAACGAAAAAGGAGAGAGACAUCUGUCUCAGGGCACUCCUGAUGGAGUCGGCGCUGACUCCGGCACCGGAGCAGCGGUCUGACUCGGCCCCGAGCAGCGCAGCAUCGGUACAGAGUGCCCCGCUGGUGCCAUCUACGAGCCAGUACUGAUUCCCUGCCCCAGCCCUGACCCCGGCCAAGAAGUCCAACAUGUCUGCGAGGGGAAGAUCUCCCACAUCCCGUAAGGGAAAGGAGAGGGGUGGAGGAGAGCCAAGAGCCAUGCUGGGCGGCUCAACACCUCCGUCAGGGAGUCAGGCCCCAGCUCAUAUUGAGUGGUCGAGCCCCUCCCUUACUAUGCCUGCCACACUGGACAUUGACGAGGACCUCAGUCAACUCGAAGUCCUGUCGACGCCCGAGGCCCUGCAGGCAGCGCAGGAGAUCCUGACGCUACUGGUGCCGCCCACAUUGGCUCCAGAGGUACCCAAGCCCAGGGGUAAACCCGCCUUGGGACCGUUCCAAAUGUCCCCACCUCAGCCGGGGGGACAUCCCAUCAGCGCUCGCCUGCACGGAGCCGUCAUGCCUCGGACUUUGGGAGCAGGCUCAGAAAAGCCCUCUUCAGUCUCCGGACCCUGGGCACCGACAGUGGGAUUUGAGGCACGGCUCGCCGGUAACCUGACGCAGACCUGCGGAAUAUCAUGCCCCCGGCAUGAGCGUCGAGACUGACCCAUUGUGUCUCCAACGUCUCGGCACUGGUCCUGCAACCAAUCAGCGGAAUGGGGUCACCGGUCACCCGCCUGCCGGCACCCGUCGCCAAGACGCGAAUCCCCUCUAUCGGGGAGAUUCUACCGAUGACCGUCCUGCUCUAGAUCCCGGUACAGGUCAAGCAGCGUGAGGCGUAGAUCGCCGGUCUACUGACACAGAUAUGCCAAAUGACAAAGAUCCCCGGGGUCCCGUGGGAGGAACUCGUCUCAGUCGGAUAGGUCGGAGUCGAGGCACAGCGGCCUAUGGAUACUGCUAAGGGAAAAACUUCCAGCACCGAUGCAUGUGGCGAGCACACACACCUAAUAUGGAAUGGACAUAAGCAACACAUCUUGAAGAACACCAGUUACGGAAAAGGUAAUUGUCUUUUUCCCCUUCAUCCAGAAUUCAACCAUCCCCUAAAGUGACUCCUGCUGGGAGAGGCUAAGCCAGAAUAGCUUAGGGAGAAAGCUUUUGGUUUUGUGCAGAGCUCCCAGCCAGACUGGCAAGAGGAAAGGAAAGGGAGACAGUUGUACUGAGGCUCCAAGCUCAAUAUCUGUA